rnacentral:rRNA from 1 species
UACGUAGGGUGCGAGCGUUAAUCGGAAUUACUGGGCGUAAAGCGUGCGCAGGCGGUUCGUUGUGUCGGCGGUGAAAGCCCCGGGCUUAACCUGGGAAUGGCCGUUGAAACUGGCGAACUGGAGUGUGGCAGAGGGGGGUGGAAUUCCGCGUGUAGCAGUGAAAUGCGUAGAGAUCGGGAGGAACAUCAGUUGCGAAGGCGGCUCUCUGGACCAGCACUGACACUGAGGCACGAAAGCGUGGGGAGC